rnacentral:tmRNA from 1 species
GGGGGCGUUCCGGUUUCGACGAAUCUGAUAAUGUCUAUAACUGCAUGCCGAGGAUUCAUAGUUAACCUCGAAAAUCAACUAUGAAAAAAAGAUAAGUGCCGAUUACGGCUACACUGCUGCUGCUUAAUUGACAGUAGCUGUCUACUAGCGGGGGUGUUCGCCUCCUGCUAAUAAGACAUCAUUAAUGCGGACUAGUCUAUUAAAUUGCCUGGAUUAAAUAGAUAAAACCUUACAGGCUAGUUUAAAAAGGGAUGCGAUCAUUCAUAACUCUUUAAAUUAAAUCAAAUAAUGAUCUAAGCAUGUAGAUGUUGUUUAUGUUACUUUUUCGGACGCGGGUUCGAUUCCCGCCGCCUCCACAA